UCUCACCCUCGCCACUCAGUCACUCACCGCGCCACCGCACCACCUCGCCACACCGGCACACAGCCACCGCCUGUCCGCCUCUACCCUCCGCCCGGCCACCCUCGCCCACGGCUCCACCGUCCGUCCACGCCUCCACGCCUCCAUCACUCCACCAGUUAUGGACAAAUUCUUUAAAAGAAAAUCAACUUUUGAGGAUUCAUCUAGUCAAGGUAGUCCCGAAGUGUCUAGUACAAGGCCUCGUAUUGAAGUUAACAUAGAUGAA